rnacentral:rRNA from 1 species
CGCAGCCGCGGUAAAUUCCAGCUCCAAUAGCGUAUAUUAAAGUUGUUGCAGUUAAAAAGCUCGUAGUUGAAUUUCGGGGUCAGCAGGUUGGUCGUGCCACUGGUAUGCACUGGCUUCGCUGAUUCCUCCUUUCUGAAGAACUGUAAUGCCAUUAAUUUGGUGUUGCAGGGAAACAGGACUGUUACUUUGAAAAAUUAGAGUGUUUAAAGCAGGCUAACGCUUGAAUACAUUAGCAUGGAAUAAUGAAAUAGGACGUUCGACCCUAUUUUGUUGGUUUCUAGGAUUGACGUAAUGAUUAAUAGGGAUAGUUGGGGGCAUUAGUAUUCAAUUGUCAGAGGUGAAAUUCUUGGAUUUAUUGAAGACUAACUACUGCGAAAGCAUAUACCAAGGAUGUUUUACA